CUCCUUACCUACCUUGGUUGUAAGACAUUUUCAAACUUAGUUUAAUGUAUUUCAGUUUCUUUUACUUUGUACUUGUUAAAGUUUGUUCUUUUUAUGUUUAUUGCUUUGAAUUUUCUUAUUGAAAGCUUUUUUUACAUGCCUUUUAAGUUUUCUUGUAUAAAAAUUUCAACUUUUAUAUUUUUCUCAGGCUUUACUUCAAUGGCUUUUUUGCUUUUCAU
rnacentral:lncRNA from 1 species